UACGAGGGGGGCAAGUGUUGUUCGGAAUCACUGGGCGUAAAGGGUGCGUAGGUGGCGCCGUAAGUCAGGUGUGAAAUUUCGGAGCUUAACUCCGAAACUGCAUUUGAUACUGCGGUGCUUGAGGACUGGAGAGGAGACUGGAAUUUACGGUGUAGCAGUGAAAUGCGUAGAGAUCGUGAGGAAGACCAGUGGCGAAGGCGAGUCUCUGGACAGUUCCUGACACUGAGGCACGAAGGCCAGGGGAGCAAACGGG
rnacentral:rRNA from 1 species